CACCUCUAGCAUUAGUAGUAUUAGAGGCAAUGCCUGCCCAGUGACACCAGUUUAACGGCCGCGGUAUUCUGACCGUGCAAAGGUAGCAUAAUCACUUGUUCUCCAAAUAAGGACUUGUAUGAAUGGCCACACGAGGGUUUUACUGUCUCUUACUUCCAAUCAGUGAAAUUGACCUUCCCGUGAAGAGGCGGGAAUAAAAAAAUAAGACGAGAAGACCCUAUGGAGCUUUAAUUAACUAUUCCAAAAGUUAAACAAUUCAACCACAAAGGGAUAAAACAUAACUUAACAUGGACUAGCAAUUUCGGUUGGGGUGACCUCGGAGUACAAAAAAACCUCCGAGUGAUUUUAAUCUAGACAAACCAGUCAAAAUAACCAUAACAUCACUUAUUGAUCCAAAAUUUUGAUCAACGGAACAAGUUACCCUAGGGAUAACAGCGCAAUCCUAUUCUAGAGUUCCUAUCGACAAUAGGGUUUACGACCUCGAUGUUGGAUCAGGACACCCAAAUGGUGCAACCGCUAUUAAA
rnacentral:rRNA from 1 species